rnacentral:rRNA from 1 species
AUUGAACGCUGGCGGCAGGCCUAACACAUGCAAGUCGAGCGGAGCGGCGGACGGGUGAGUAAUGGCUAGGAAUCUGCCUGGUAGUGGGGGAUAACGUCCGGAAACGGGCGCUAAUACCGCAUACUAUCAGAUGAGCCUAGGUCGGAUUAGCUAGUUGGUGGGGGAAAGGCCUACCAAGGCGACGACCAGUAACUGGUCUGAGAGGAUGAUCAGACCACCUGGAACGGAGAAACGGCCCAGACUCCUACGGGAGGCAGCAGUGGGGAAUAUUGGACAAUGGGCGAAAGCCUGAUGCAGCCAUGCCGCGUGUGUGAAGAAGGUCUUCGGAUUGUAAAGCACUUUAAGUUGGGAGGCGUUACCAGCAGAAUAAGCACCGGCUAACUUCGUGCCAGCAGCCGCGGUAAUUC